UGUGUUGUGAAUAUAUGUGUGACCAUUAUUGAAUCCUGUUAUGGAAUUAGUAUUAGGGACAAAAUAACCAUAUCUUAGCACUGCAUGAACCAGAUUAGUAGUAGUUUAUAAUGUAACCUUGUACCAUAUAUGUGUAAGGCAUCUAACUAGUUCACUUUUGUGUAUUUAAUCUAGAACUUUCUUGAUUAAUCUUACCUAGGUUAUAGGAUAGUUUGUUGGGACAUGAUCAUAGG
rnacentral:lncRNA from 1 species